rnacentral:lncRNA from 1 species
AACCUCUGGUACACGUCAUAGUUGAACACACAGAUCCCUCUCUGUCAGCACAGCAACCAAGUCGCCCCAGCAGCCGAGUAUGAGACAACAGUUACUUUUUCUGAACUAAAACCUCCGCGGUCAGGUUUAAUUGCAGUGUCGGCAUUUUGCCAUAAAUAAGUGGGUUCAGGGUUGCAGUUUGGGCAUUCGGUCUCUAAAAGAUUCACCAUCCAUGCUCUAUUGAAAGCACCCACUUCUUUCUCUUUCUUCCCUGUCUAUACCAUGAAAAGAAGACAUAAGGAGUGUGAGAGACAACAAGAGUUCCCAAGCCUACAGGCAGCCCAAGCUGAGACACAGAUUUCACACUAAUAAUCUACUGCAGACACAUGAGAGAUGCCACUGAGACUAGGAUCAUCCAUUU